rnacentral:rRNA from 1 species
AUUGAACGCCGGCGGAAUGCUUUACACAUGCAAGUCGAACGGCAGCACGGGAGCUUGCUCCUGGUGGCGAGUGGCGAACGGGUGAGUAAUGCAUCGGAACGUACCUAUUAGUGGGGGAUAACUAUCCGAAAGGAUAGCUAAUACCGCAUACGUCCUGAGGGAGAAAGCGGGGGAUCGCACGACCUCGCGCUAAUAGAGCGGACGAUGUUGGAUUAGCUAGUUGGGGGGGUAAAGGCCUACCAAGGCGACGAUCCAUAGCUGGUCUGAGAGGAUGAUCGGCCACACUGGGACUGAGACACGGCCCAGACUCCUACGGGAGGCAGCAGUGGGGAAGUUUGGACAAUGGGGGCAACCCUGAUCCAGCCAUUCCGCGUGAGUGAAGAAGGCCUCCGGGUUGUAAAGCUCUUUCGGCAGGAACGAAACGGUGGUGACUAAUACUAGCUACUAAUGACGGUACCUGAAGAAGAAGCACCGGCUAACUACGUGCCAGCCGCCGCAGUAA